CCCUUAGAUGUUCUGGGCCGCACGCGCGCUACACUGAUGCAUUCAACGAGCCUAUCCUUGACCGACAGGUCCGGGUAAUCUUUGAAUCUGCAUCGUGACGGGGAUAGAUUAUUGCAAUUAUUAAUCUUCAACGAGGAAUGCCUAGUAGGCGCAAGUCAUCGGCUUGCGUCGAUUACGUCCCUGCCCUUUGUACACACCGCCCGUCGCUCCUACCGAUUGGGUGUGCUGGUGAAAUGUUCGGAUCGGCCGUUUGUCGCGGUUUCCGCGGCUCGUGGCUGAGAAGUUCAUUAAACCCUCCCACCUAGAGGAAGGAGAAGUCGUAACA
rnacentral:rRNA from 1 species